CCCAGAAUGAGUCGUUUCAGGGUUCUACAAGCUGGAGCUGGCCACACCCACCCAUCCCCCACUCAGGCUGCUACAAGCUGAAAAGCUCAGAUGUCUGGGAGGGGAUCAGAGUAGAGCCAUUGCUCCUCCAGCAGCUGUCCUCUAGGUGAGAGGUGGUUUUGUCCUACUUAGCCUGUUUGUGACAUCACAAAUGGGGACUUGUGUCUAUAAACAGGCUUGAAACAGCCAAUUCCUAAAAUCAUACAUUGACAGGAAAUAGAUGGAUGGGGUAUUUUUACGUUUGGAGUGAUCAUAGAAGCAGCAGAGUCCCACAUGGCAACACAAAAGGAUGUAAAAGGUGAGUUUUGCAUAAUAUGUCCUCUUUAAUAGCUAAUUAAAUUUAAUAGCUCAGUGAAAUUCAUAUCCAUGAUGCUCCUUCAUUGUGUAUUCACAAAAUAUAACAUGCUGUCAUGUUCCUGGGCAGAGGUGAGUCACACCUUCUCCUCUCACCAGACUCUGAGCUAAUUCUCCACAGGUGAGGAGCAGGGGGAGCGGCAGCUGCAGGAGAUUUCCCAAUCAGGGACGCGGGUUCAAAAGGAGGAUGGAGACACAUCACUUUGCCGGAUGAUUGCACCAGUUUAGGAUCAUCUCAUCAUCUACUCACCCUCGCUGUCUUCGUUUUCUGGAACAUACUCAUCACGUCCCAUCCUCCUCCGCCGUUCCUGUUUGGCUUUCCCUCUGCUACCUCACCCCUCCUGGAUCUCUCAUCCUCUGCCCAGCGUCCUCCCGGCUUCCCCUCCUCUACUGAUUAACCUGAGCACCUCAGAGACUUGAGCCGUAUUGCUCAUCCCACAGGACUUCCCUGUGCGGUUUCAGUUCCCGUUUUUAUAAUAAAGACAUUUUACUUU